GGUUAAGCGACUAAGCGUACACGGUGGAUGCCCUGGCAGUCAGAGGCGAUGAAGGACGUGCUAAUCUGCGAUAAGCGUCGGUAAGGUGAUAUGAACCGUUAUAACCGGCGAUUUCCGAAUGGGGAAACCCAGUGUGUUUCGACACACUAUCAUUAACUGAAUCCAUAGGUUAAUGAGGCGAACCGGGGGAACUGAAACAUCUAAGUACCCCGAGGAAAAGAAAUCAACCGAGAUUCCCCCAGUAGCGGCGAGCGAACGGGGAGCAGCCCAGAGCCUGAAUCAGUGUGUGUGUUAGUGGAAGCGUCUGGAAAGGCGCGCGAUACAGGGUGACAGCCCCGUACACAAAAAUGCACAUGCUGUGAGCUCGAUGAGUAGGGCGGGACACGUGGUAUCCUGUCUGAAUAUGGGGGGACCAUCCUCCAAGGCUAAAUACUCCUGACUGACCGAUAGUGAACCAGUACCGUGAGGGAAAGGCGAAAAGAACCCCGGCGAGGGGAGUGAAAAAGAACCUGAAACCGUGUACGUACAAGCAGUGGGAGCACGCUUAGGCGUGUGACUGCGUACCUUUUGUAUAAUGGGUCAGCGACUUAUAUUCUGUAGCAAGGUUAACCGAAUAGGGGAGCCGAAGGGAAACCGAGUCUUAACUGGGCGUUAAGUUGCAGGGUAUAGACCCGAAACCCGGUGAUCUAGCCAUGGGCAGGUUGAAGGUUGGGUAACACUAACUGGAGGACCGAACCGACUAAUGUUGAAAAAUUAGCGGAUGACUUGUGGCUGGGGGUGAAAGGCCAAUCAAACCGGGAGAUAGCUGGUUCUCCCCGAAAGCUAUUUAGGUAGCGCCUCGUGAAUUCAUCUCCGGGGGUAGAGCACUGUUUCGGCAAGGGGGUCAUCCCGACUUACCAACCCGAUGCAAACUGCGAAUACCGGAGAAUGUUAUCACGGGAGACACACGGCGGGUGCUAACGUCCGUCGUGAAGAGGGAAACAACCCAGACCGCCAGCUAAGGUCCCAAAGUCAUGGUUAAGUGGGAAACGAUGUGGGAAGGCCCAGACAGCCAGGAUGUUGGCUUAGAAGCAGCCAUCAUUUAAAGAAAGCGUAAUAGCUCACUGGUCGAGUCGGCCUGCGCGGAAGAUGUAACGGGGCUAAACCAUGCACCGAAGCUGCGGCAGCGACGCUUAUGCGUUGUUGGGUAGGGGAGCGUUCUGUAAGCCUGUGAAGGUGUGCUGUGAGGCAUGCUGGAGGUAUCAGAAGUGCGAAUGCUGACAUAAGUAACGAUAAAGCGGGUGAAAAGCCCGCUCGCCGGAAGACCAAGGGUUCCUGUCCAACGUUAAUCGGGGCAGGGUGAGUCGACCCCUAAGGCGAGGCCGAAAGGCGUAGUCGAUGGGAAACAGGUUAAUAUUCCUGUACUUGGUGUUACUGCGAAGGGGGGACGGAGAAGGCUAUGUUGGCCGGGCGACGGUUGUCCCGGUUUAAGCGUGUAGGCUGGUUUUCCAGGCAAAUCCGGAAAAUCAAGGCUGAGGCGUGAUGACGAGGCACUACGGUGCUGAAGCAACAAAUGCCCUGCUUCCAGGAAAAGCCUCUAAGCAUCAGGUAACAUCAAAUCGUACCCCAAACCGACACAGGUGGUCAGGUAGAGAAUACCAAGGCGCUUGAGAGAACUCGGGUGAAGGAACUAGGCAAAAUGGUGCCGUAACUUCGGGAGAAGGCACGCUGAUAUGUAGGUGAAGUCCCUCGCGGAUGGAGCUGAAAUCAGUCGAAGAUACCAGCUGGCUGCAACUGUUUAUUAAAAACACAGCACUGUGCAAACACGAAAGUGGACGUAUACGGUGUGACGCCUGCCCGGUGCCGGAAGGUUAAUUGAUGGGGUUAGCGGUAACGCGAAGCUCUUGAUCGAAGCCCCGGUAAACGGCGGCCGUAACUAUAACGGUCCUAAGGUAGCGAAAUUCCUUGUCGGGUAAGUUCCGACCUGCACGAAUGGCGUAAUGAUGGCCAGGCUGUCUCCACCCGAGACUCAGUGAAAUUGAACUCGCUGUGAAGAUGCAGUGUACCCGCGGCAAGACGGAAAGACCCCGUGAACCUUUACUAUAGCUUGACACUGA
rnacentral:rRNA from 1 species